CUGAGCGUCAGUCUUCGUCCAGGGGGCCGCCUUCGCCACCGGUAUUCCUCCAGAUCUCUACGCAUUUCACCGCUACACCUGGAAUUCUACCCCCCUCUACGAGACUCAAGCCUGCCAGUUUCGGAUGCAGUUCCCAGGUUGAGCCCGGGGAUUUCACAUCCGACUUGACAGACCGCCUGCGUGCGCUUUACGCCCAGUAAUUCCGAUUAACGCUUGCACCCUCCGUAUUACCGCGGCUGCUGGCACGGAGUUAGCCGGUGCUUCUUCUGCGGGUAACGUCAAUCGACGCGGUUAUUAACCNCAUCGCCUUCCUCCCCGCUGAAAGUACUUUACAACCCGAAGGCCUUCUUCAUACACGCGGCAUGGCUGCAUCAGGCUUGCGCCCAUUGUGCAAUAUUCCCCACUGCUGCCUCCCGUAGGAGUCUGGACCGUGUCUCAGUUCCAGUGUGGCUGGUCAUCCUCUCAGACCAGCUAGGGAUCGUCGCCUAGGUGAGCCGUUACCCCACCUACUAGCUAAUCCCAUCUGGGCACAUCUGAUGGCAAGAGGCCCGAAGGUCCCCCUCUUUGGUCUUGCGACGUUAUGCGGUAUUAGCUACCGUUUCCAGUAGUUAUCCCCCUCCAUCAGGCAGUUUCCCAGACAUUACUCACCCGUCCGCCACUCGUCAGCNAAGCAGCAAGCUGCUUCCUGUUACCGUUCGACUUGCAUGUGUUAGGCCUGCCGCCAGCGUUCA
rnacentral:rRNA from 1 species